GUCAACGGCCAUACCAUGUUGAACACACCGGUUCUCGUCCGAUCACCGAAGUUAAGCAACAUCGGGCGUGGUUAGUACUUGGAUGGGUGACCGCUUGGGAACACCACGUGCCGUUGGCU
rnacentral:rRNA from 2 species